GUGCUGGAUGGACUUGCCUUUGAAGUCCUUCGACGAAAGUUAGAGGUACAAAACCGAUUCAUGAGGAACAACAAGGUAUGCAAGUUCUUCUUCUUCUGCCUCUCAAAUCCGCUGCCAUUUCGUUUCAAGAUGGCUAAUAAGGUCAAGAAUAUCAAUUUGUUGUUAGACAAUCUUAAGAAAGAUGCAGAAGGCAUCGGUAUUAGACCAGCUGAUCAGAUCUUAAACGCUAGUACUAGUGUUGAAUCUUUACAUGUUUGAUUAGAAUGUUCUUGAAAUUUGAGGAUUUUGUAUCCGUCCUAAAAAAUCAUCUAUGGGAUUUGAUGAAAUGACGUGUUUCAAUUUUGAACAAAUGCUUUUUUGAUGCUCCAAUUUUAACUAAUUUCAUUUUAGCUGAUGAAGCUAAAUGAUCUACAUUUCACAAUGAGACGGUGACCUAACUGUGGGUUCCUGAGAGCAUUGCUUUUAACUGAGCUAUGCCCAAUUAAGCCAUUGAAAGUUGCAUAUAGCUUUAGAAAACAUGUACAGAGGUAGAGUGAGUUAGGAGGCAAUUAAACUAACGAUGGUGUUGCAACAACAAUUCACUUGGAGGAUUGAAAUAUGUAUGUAGUUCUAGUUUGGAGUUCAGAUCAUAUGAUUUAGUUUAAUUCAAUUUCAAUUUUAUCUGUUGUUGAUUAUCGAUGAUCUUAUACCAGGUUAAACUUGUAUGGGGCACCUAGAUUUUUGUACCAAUUUAAGUCACUAUCCUGGUUCUUGAGAUGAUAGAACUACAUAACUAUAGUAAUUGUACAUAUGUUGUGCUCUCAUGUUAAUCAAAAUUUAAUUUUAUGGACUUUUUGUCCAUCCUAAAAAAUGAUCUAUAGGUUUCAUUAGAAUGUUUCUGAAAUUUGAGGAUUUUGUAUCCAUCCUAAAAAAUCAUCUAUUGGUUUAAUUAGAAUGUUCCUGGAAUUUGAGGAUUUUAUAUCGCUUCUAAAAAAUCAUCCAUAGGAUUUGAUGAAAUGAUAUAAUUCAAUUUUGAACCAACGCUUCUCUAAUAUUCCAAUUUCAAAUAAUCUCAUUUUAGCUACUGAAGCUAAAUGAUCUAAAACUCACAAGGACAUGGUGCCCUAACUGUGGGUUCCUAAGAGCAUUGCUUCAGAUGACAUGUACUUAAACAUGGAUUUUCCAUGCUAUCUUGUAUAUCACUAAUUCUAAAAGCCAUAGUGCUUCAUCCUACCUAGAGUAUGCAAAAGUCAGCUGAGUUGACUUGACAUUUCCAAUUAUAACACUUUGGUCAGUCAUAUUGAUUUGUUGCAUGUGCAGAGGUAGUUUGUGCAAGAGGCAAUUAAUCUAACGAUGAAUUUGCCACAACAUUCCACUUGGAGGAUUGAAUUAUGUUUGUAGUUUUGUUUGGAGUUCAAAUUGUAUCAGUUUAAUUCUAUUUUAAUUUUAUCUGUUAAUGCCUGCCUUUUUCUGCAAAUUGGCUAUAUAUGUCAGUUUCUUUGUUUUGAGACACUUCAAUAUAUGAUCUGUUACUUGGAGCAUCUAACAAAUUACAUGUAACAUUCUGUUGCCUUUUUUUUUUUUUUUUUUCAUUUGUUUAAUCUUCAAAUCAAGUUUGGUUCAUGUACAGAGUUAAAUAACCCAUCAAGUCAUCUCUAACUCAUUUGGAAACUUGUAUUCAUGUACAGAUUAUUUUGCAUGUGAAGGCAAAAGAAUUAAUUUUGUCUAUAGUUUUGUCACAAAGAUCAUGUGCAGCACAAAAUUUGCAGGUGGUAUUCUCCCUCUAUCCCUAAUUGAUUAAGUAUGGCAUUCUUAUAAUUAGGAAGUGCUAAUCUUUCUUUAAUGAAAGAAUUGGCAUGAUCACUAUCUGAUAUUUGAAUUGAAUUAAGGUAGCUUGCUGGAAAUAGGUGCUUGAGCUGGAACUCUCGCAUCAGUUGGAUCAGCUUACGCUAUUGGAAGGGCCAAGUGCUUCCGAGUUAGCAAAGCUAAAACAAACAUGAAAAAAAUCAAGUGCAGCUCAAGAUUUGCGGGUGGUGUUCUAAUUCAGUCUGUUUCAGAAUCUAAUAUUCGUGUUACCCAAUCAUUAUGAUAUUCCCAUUUCAAUUGGGAGCCAAUAAAACAUAUGAAAAUUGCAUAUUUGAUGUCUUGAAUUUUGAAUUAUGUGAAGCUUACUCUUGGUUCUUAGUUUUAAGUGCUUGGUCUAGGAUACUUUACGUAAGAAGCAUCAAAGUUUGUAGACAUUCAUAAAUCAAUUUGUGUCUUUAGGCAGUGUCCUAGACCAAGCACUUCAAAGAUUGUAGACAUCGAUAAAUCAAUUUGCAAAUGGAGAAACAACAGAGACUCAGAAUUUGUUGUGCUCACUCUCCCAGUUAAUUCCUGCCUUUUUCUUCAAAUUGGCAGUAUAGCAUUCUGUUGUCUUUUGUUCUUCUUCUUCAUUUCCUUAUCAAGUUUGUGAAUUAAUGUGCAGAGAGUAUCACAUGUGGAGCAAAAAGAAUAAUUCUGUUUGUAGUUCUGUGUCACAAAGAUCAACUGCUGCUCAGGAUUUGUAAGUGGACGUAUCUACUUGAUCAACUUCAGCACCUCAUUGCCUUAAAAGUGUUGUCAAUUGAAGAUUUUGAUGGAUUGGAAGCUCUGUAGGAGUGUCUGGGUAACCUUUCAUCUCUUUCAUUCUUUGAAGCUUCAGAAUUGCGAGAAUCUGAUCAAUCUUCCUAUGCUGGAAGCAAUGCAACGCCUCACCAAUUUAUGAUAUUUGCAUACUUAUAAUUGCCAUGAUUUCAGACACCAGCAGCGGUCCCGAUAGUGUCUUGAUACAAUUUGCUAAUCAUUCAUCACAAUGGCAACAGCGCUAAAUAGGUGCAUCAUUGAGCUAAGAAAGCAUCGCAUGUGAAACAAAAAGAAUCAUUCGGUUUAUAGUCUUGUGUCACAAAGAUUAAGCGCUGCUCAAGAUUUGCAAGUGGUGUUUAUUUUCUCGAUCUUGCUCACACACAUUUGAUCCAGUUAUCUGCUUUUUGACAAAAUGAGAGCUGAUAACCUCACGUUCAUAAUUGGUCAUCUCAUCCAAAUUAAAAGAAAUUAGGUGAAGAGAAAACUAAAAGAAAUGAUAAUUUCAUUGCAAUAUAGAUGAGAGUUCUAAACUUUCAAUUGUUUUGAAGGUGUUAAGUUCUCUUCAUUUGUUCCAUGCACUUCAGCACCUCAUUGCUUUAAAAAGUGUCGUCAAUUGAAGAUUUUGAUGGAUUGGAAGCUCUGUCGGAGUGUCUGGGUAACCUUUAAUCUCUUUAUUCUUUGAAGCUUCAGGAUUGUGAGAAUCUGAUGAAUCUUCCUACUCUGGAAGCAAUGUAACGCCUCACCAAUUUUUGAUCUUUGCAUACUUAUAAUGGAAAGAUGUGCAAGGGAAAGCAGACAAGAAAACCAACUGCCAACUGCCAAGAAAACCACCACUUUGGCGAUUUUCAUUCCCAUAAUUUCAGACAUCAACAGCAGCCCCAACCAUAUCUUGAUACAAUUUGCUUAUCAUUCAUCACAGUGGAAGUGCCAGUAGUGGCAACAAACACAUCAUUGAGCUCUACUCUCAGAGGUUUAUGUUGACAAAGAAAAUGAUACAAGUGCUUCAAAGAUUUGGCUUUUAUGCAUUAUAAUUUUCUAAAUAUUUAUAGUAGACGUUGAGUCAUCUGAGGCUUCUUGAUUCAAUUGUGAAAUCAAUUCUUUUUUUUACCUUUGUUUUAGUAGUAACUUUAGUUUAUAAAACAGAAGUCAUUGAAAAGGAGUGUAUUUGCUUUCUUUAGUUGAAGUCAGGAUCAUUCUUUUGAACAAAAGUAAAAACAUUCCUAUUUAACACAACAACAAAAUACUCCAAAGAGAUCUCGCAAGUAGUGGUUGUUAUUUGUUGGACCAAAUUCGAUUUUCCUGUUUUGAAAUUGAUGUGACAUAAAUAGAUUUUUUUUCCUUUUAUGUCGCUAAAUCAAAUAUAUAAUCCUGCCCAGAUUAGCAAAGAUGUUCAUUUUAUCAUAGAUCAUUACCUCUCAUUUCUGUUUUUGAAACAACAGAUGGUGGUUGAAACCUAAGGCUUGUUAUCAAUCUAUAAAACUCUUGAAUUCAUUUUAGAAAUUUAAAUUCAUAAAUCCAAAUGUAACUUAAUAUUCUUCCAAUUUCAUGUUCAGUGAGGCAUUUUUCCAUGACAAUCCAGAUUGAUCUAAAGAGAGAAUACAGAGCAGAGAGAGAGAGAAUUAUAGAGUGUGUAAUUCUUUGUUCCAAAUAUAGUGAAAUCCGCUGCUCGUGGACGUAGGCGAUUUGCCAAACCACGUAAAUCUUUGUGUGUUCUUGCUUGUGUGUGAUUGUUUUCUCCUUCCUAGACAGAACAUGAUCAUCAAGGCAUUACACAAAAGUAAUGAUAGUAUUCACUUGUAGUUUAACAAUGAGAACUUGUAGCAUAGUCGACCAACUCAAACAAACAGAG